rnacentral:rRNA from 1 species
AUUGAACGCUGGCGGCAGGCCUAACACAUGCAAGUCGAGCGGUAGAGAGGUGCUUGCAUCUCUUGAGAGCGGCGGACGGGUGAGUAAUGCCUAGGAAUCUGCCUAGUGGUGGGGGAUAAACGUUCGGAAACGGACGCUAAUACCGCAUACGUCCUACGGGAGAAAGCGGGGGAUCUUCGGACCUCGCGCCAUUAGAUGAGCCUAGGUCGGAUUAGCUAGUUGGUGAGGUAAUGGCUCACCAAGGCGACGAUCCGUAACUGGUCUGAGAGGAUGAUCAGUCACACUGGAACUGAGACACGGUCCAGACUCCUACGGGAGGCAGCAGUGGGGAAUAUUGGACAAUGGGCGAAAGCCUGAUCCAGCCAUGCCGCGUGUGUGAAGAAGGUCUUCGGAUUGUAAAGCACUUUAAGUUGGGAGGAAGGGCAGUUACCUAAUACGUGAUUGUUUUGACGUUACCGACAGAAUAAG